rnacentral:rRNA from 1 species
UACGUAGGGUGCGAGCGUUGUCCGGAAUUAUUGGGCGUAAAGGGCUCGUAGGCGGUCUGUCGCGUCGGGCGUGAAAACUCAGGGCUUAACCCUGAGCCUGCUUCCGAUACGGGCAGACUAGAGGUAUGCAGGGGAGAAUGGAAUUCCUGGUGUAGCGGUGAAAUGCGCAGAUAUCAGGAGGAACACCGGUGGCGAAGGCGGGUCUCUGGGCCGAUACUGACGCUGAGGAGCGAAAGCGUGGGGAGCGAACAGG